UCAGAUUUCUGUGGGUCAAAGAACAAAUGGGAGGUAAGGAGCUGCCAGCAAUGAAUAUGGAAGUAAUUUUAAAGAAGGUUAGCUGGAAAGGAAAGAGGAGAGGUGGGAUGGUUAGAGGGAGUUGCAGAAUAGAAGGGAGACACGGUUGUCCUUUUUGUUUGUUUUGGAGGAGUAGAGAGUCUUGAGCAAGUGUGAAGUUGAGGGAGAGAAGCCAGGGUAAAGGGAGGGACCAGGCUAGGGGGCACAGAGAGGUGGAGCUGCAAAAUAUGUGAAGCAAAAACUGCAAAAUAUGUGAAGCAAAAAUUGAUAGGACUGAAAGGAGGAACAGACAAACCCACAGUCAUGGUUGAAAACUUUGAUACUCCUUUCUCAACCAUUAGCAGAAUACCCAGACAGAAAUCAGCAAGGACAUGGAAAACUCAACACUGCUGAGCACCAGGAUGGAAUCAACAUUUAUGGAACGCUUCACCCAAUAAUAGCAGUGUCCAUAGAAUAUAUGUGAAAUAGACUGUAUCUUGGGCCGUAAAACAAACCUUAAUGAAUUUAAAAGAACGAAAAGGAUACAGUGUGUUUUUCAACUACAUUGAAAU
rnacentral:lncRNA from 10 species